rnacentral:rRNA from 1 species
GCUCAACCUCGGGCGUGCGGUGGGUACGGGCAGGCUAGAGUGUGGUAGGGGAGACUGGAACUCCUGGUGUAGCGGUGAAAUGCGCAGAUAUCAGGAAGAACACCGAUGGCGAAGGCAGGUCUCUGGGCCAUUACUGACACUGAGAAGCGAAAGCAUGGGUAGCGAACAGGAUUAGAUACCCUGGUAGUCCAUGCCGUAAACGUUGGGCACUAGGUGUGGGGGACAUUCCACGUUUUCCGCGCCGUAGCUAACGCAUUAAGUGCCCCGCCUGGGGAGUACGGCCGCAAGGCUAAAACUCAAAGGAAUUGACGGGGGCCCGCACAAGCGGCGGAGCAUGCUGAUUAAUUCGAUGCAACGCGAAGAACCUUACCAAGGCUUGACAUGCACUGGACGGCUGCAGAGAUGUGGCUUUCUUUGGACUGGUGCACAGGUGGUGCAUGGUUGUCGUCAGCUCGUGUCGUGAGAUGUUGGGUUAAGUCCCGCAACGAGCGCAACCCUCGUUCUAUGUUGCCAGCACGUGAUGGUGGGGACUCAUAGGAGACUGCCGGGGUCAACUCGGAGGAAGGUGGGGACGACGUCAAAUCAUCAUGCCCCUUAUGUCUUGGGCUUCAAGCAUGCUACAAUGGUCGGUACAAUG